rnacentral:rRNA from 1 species
UACAGGGGGUGCAAGCGUUGUCCGGAAUCACUGGGCGUAAAGGGCGCGUAGGCGGCUCAUGAAGGCUGUGGUGAAAGUCCGGGGCUCAACCUCGGAUCGGCCGUGGCGACUCGUGGGCUGGAGCACUGUAGAGGCGGGUGGAAUUCCGGGUGUAGCGGUGGAAUGCGUAGAGAUCCGGAAGAACACCAGUGGCGAAGGCGGCCCGCUGGGCAGUGGCUGACGCUGAGGCGCGACAGCGUGGGGAGCAAACAGG